GACGAACGCUGGCGGCGUGCCUAAUACAUGCAAGUAGAACGCACAGUUUAUACCGUAGCUUGCUACACCAUAGACUGUGAGUUGCGAACGGGUGAGUAACGCGUAGGUAACCUGCCUGGUAGCGGGGGAUAACUAUUGGAAACGAUAGCUAAUACCGCAUAAUAUUAAUUAUUGCACGAUAAUUGAUUGAAAGAUGCAACUGCAUCACUACCAGAUGGACCUGCGUUGUAUUAGCUAGUAGGUGAGGUAACGGCUCACCUAGGCGACGAUACAUAGCCGACCUGAGAGGGUGAUCGGCCACACUGGGACUGAGACACGGCCCAGACUCCUACGGGAGGCAGCAGUAGGGAAUCUUCGGCAAUGGACGAAAGUCUGACCGAGCAACGCCGCGCGAGUGAAGAAGGUUUUCGGAUCGUAAAGCUCUGUUGUAAGAGAAGAACGGGUGUGAGAGUGGAAAGUUCACACUGUGACGGUAUCUUACCAGAAAGGGACGGCUAACUACGUG
rnacentral:rRNA from 1 species